rnacentral:rRNA from 1 species
AACUUAAGCAUAUCAAUAAGCGGAGGAAAAGAAACCAACAGGGAUUGCCCUAGUAACGGCGAGUGAAGCGGCAACAGCUCAAAUUUGAAAUCUGGCCCCCGGGUCCGAGUUGUAAUUUGUAGAGGAUGCUUUUGGUGCGGUACCUUCCGAGUUCCCUGGAACGGGACGCCAUAGAGGGUGAGAGCCCCGUCUGGUUGGACGCCAAUCCUUUGUAAAGCUCCUUCGACGAGUCGAGUAGUUUGGGAAUGCUGCUCUAAAUGGGAGGUAUAUGUCUUCUAAAGCUAAAUAUUGGCCAGAGACCGAUAGCGCACAAGUAGAGUGAUCGAAAGAUGAAAAGCACUUUGAAAAGAGAGUUAAAAAGUACGUGAAAUUGUUGAAAGGGAAGCGCUCAUGACCAGACUUGGGCCCGGUUGAUCAUCCAGGGUUCUCCCUGGUGCACUCUUCCGGCCCAGGCCAGCAUCAGUUCGCUGUGGGGGAUAAAGGCUUCGGGAAUGUGGCUCCUCCGGGAGUGUUAUAGCCCGCUGCGUAAUACCCUGUGGCGGACUGAGGUUCGCGCAUCUGCAAGGAUGCUGGCGUAAUGGUCAUCAGCGACCCGUCUUGAAACACGGACCAAGGAGUCGUCUUCGUAUGCGAGUGUUCGGGUGUUAAACCCCUACGCGGAAUGAAAGUGAACGCAGGUGAGAGCUUCGGCGCAUCAUCGACCGAUCCUGAUGUUCUCGGAUGGAUUUGAGUAAGAGCAUACGGGGCCGGACCCGAAAGAAGGUGAACUAUGCCUGUAUAGGGUGAAGCCAGAGGAAACUCUGGUGGAGGCUCGCAGCGGUUCUGACGUGCAAAUCGAUCGUCAA